UACGGAGGAUCCGAGCGUUGUCCGGAUUUAUUGGGCGUAAAGCGAGCGCAGGCGGUUUCUUAAGUCUGAUGUGAAAGCCCCCGGCUCAACCGGGGAGGGUCAUUGGAAACUGGGAGACUUGAGUGCAGAAGAGGAGAGUGGAAUUCCAUGUGUAGCGGUGAAAUGCGUAGAUAUAUGGAGGAACACCAGUGGCGAAGGCGGCUCUCUGGUCUGUAACUGACGCUGAGGCUCGAAAGUGUGGGUAUCAAAC
rnacentral:rRNA from 1 species